GCUUGAUAAGUACUCUCUUAAAACUUCAAAGAUAGAUUACUUGUGAAAUAAUGCCAGAAAGCCUCAGUGUCUUAAUAUUCCCUUUUAUUCUGAGUUAUAAGUCGUCUGAAUUUCACAGCCCUUCAACUCCCGAAGGAUGAAAAAAAAAUCCACCAAGCAAGGGAGGAAAAAAGAUCAAUGGCAAUCAUUCUCCCACACAGAUUCUCUUAUUGAUCAAGCUGUGGGACACCGACAGAAGAACAAUCGUUCAUCAGAAACUGAUGUUUCUUUUGUGCCCAUUUUCUUCAUUUUUGUGUCAUGUAUACCCAACAUUUGAUAGUUUAAAAAAAAACCAAGCUCUGAAAAAGGUACAUCAGCAAACUUUUUAUUUGAUCAUUUGUUUAAAGAAUGCCGCAUUUUCCACUCAAAGGACAGGUUUAGAACAUUAGAGAAUUUCUUUUAAAAUUUUUUCAUUCUUUCAUUCAUCCUAACACUUUGAAAUGACAUCUACAUUCGAAAUAGAGAUUUUUUUUUUAUGAACUGUGCUUUUUCUUGUGAUUAUUUUUAGUCUUUUUUUCCCUCACCCACAUUCUUGUCACAUUUUACCACAUCUGAAAGUUUCCUAUUUUGUUGUUCUUUACCGUCUACUCAGGAACCGAUUUCCCUCACUUACUUUUUGCACUCUAAUGGGGAAUCCACCAUUUGUUAGGGGUGAACGAAUCUACAAUUCCAAACCCAGUGCCCUAGAAAAUUCUAAGGAGUCUCUGCAAAAAAUGAGUGUGCAUCAAUGCUCACGAGAUUAGCAAAUACAGACCAAAACGCAGUACAACACAGUAGAUUCCAGAGUAAAACGUUCAAAUUUAUCCUCUACAAAUGGGUGACAUCCUGUUUAAGGUUUAACUAAAAAAAAUAGAGAGCAUGUUUCCAAAUUGUGUAAAAGCCUAGAUGGUCUACUAUUUAGUCUUUUAGAGGUUGGGGAAUUUGAACAUACAGAAUGAGACAAAUGAAUGAGAAGGUGUGUCCAAACCUUUGGUCUGUACUGUAGUUUAUGUGUACUAUCUUUCUAUCUUCCAUGUCCAAACCACCACAAUCCAGCUUCUCUGGUUUUGCCUUUAAAUCACCCAGUCUGAGUUAUCCCUCUGACACUUCUCCUUCUCUUUGUUCUCCUUACACCCAGAGAGUAUCAACCGUGUGGAACCACAAACAAAAUCUUGCUCAAAAGAGAGGCUUUUAUUUAUAAAGGAAAGCGAAUCUUUUGACUUUGCUUCUGUGUUUCAUGUUUGGAUGCUUUCAAAUAGUUCUCACAAAGUUCCCUGAAGACAAAGCAGAGUCUUUUUGCAUGUGCUUAAUGAAACGGCACAUAAUUUAGAGGCUGCCUGUUGGGAAGAGCGCAGCACCAUUUCAACUCAACAGUUUUUUACUCACAGAAUAAAAUACACCACUGAAAAAAAAUUGUAGAAUAGUUGCAAGACUUCUACCAGGUAAUUGUUUUUUUUGUGAAAAGGUAGCUUAUUCUGAGAGAAAUUAGACUUAAAUUUAUGCAGAUUCAAUUCAGUCAGUUAGUAAGUUACACAACAAAUGCUUGGUAGUAAACUGUCAAUGUGGGAGAGCAAGAACAUGGACAAUCAUCCCUCUAUAGUAUAUUUAAGACCAAAAAUAAUGACAUGGUCUUGGAUUAACUAGGCCAUUUACGGAAAACUGUUUUCAUCCACCGAAAAGUUUCUCCAAAGACCCAAUUAAAAAGUUCUACUUAAAGUAAGGGUUCUGUUUUCACUCCGUUGUAUUUUGCUCUACUGAAGUUAUUUCAAAAUACAAACCAGCAGAAUACUGGCAUCAUUUUGACAUUUAGCAGAAACUUCCUUCCCUUGUUCUAAAGCAAUUUUUUCUUUACCAAAUGACCGAAGCAAAAAGGAUGUAACCCAUCUAACUAUAACCCUUUUUGCUUUCCCCCCCUGCCACAGAGAAUGAAGCAUAUCACCAGUUCAAAUUCACUCCCUUUUUUUGCUGAGCGUGCAUACCCAACAUUGAGUCUCCCAGAAACCCAAUGAGGGUGGGGUGGAUUUGCAUGAGUCCAGUAGAUCACAGCUCCUCUUUAAGUCUCUGAGAGUUUAUCUGUCGUUCAGCUUUGAUUUAGUUGCCUGCUUCCGUCCUAGAGACCAUAAAGACACUUUGUGCUGACAGCACGUGCAGUCGUAGGAAUUCACGUGUCAAAACGCCGUGCCUCGUGUCACGGAGGUUACUUGUAGACUAAUUGGUGAAUCACUAAUACCUUUGGGAACAAGUAUAAAUUAUUCUCACUUGAAAGAAGUAUUUGCAUUAAUGUUUCAUAGCACAUAGAAGAAACAUCUAGCGUAUAUUAAUAAACAUACAAAAUUCAUUUUUGAAUGUAUGGAAGUAAAACAGCAGAUAUGAGCAUUCUUAUUCUUCAUCCUUGGUUGAACACUUUAUUAAAACUUUACAGUUCAGAUGGGAGAACGAUUUCAUAAGGCCAGAUGGUGGAACACUUGGCCCCAAAUGAUUCAGUGAUCCAGUUAGAAAGCAGUUCGUGUUCGUGUUCCUUUGAUGCUGUGAUUUAUUACCAGAAGCAUCGGCUUACUGACAGAAUUAGAAAUGAGAGAUAAAAUGAAACGGAGGUAGAGGCUAAGACCACACUGACUAUGUUGUCCCUAAAAAUGAUGCAUCACUGGAAAUUUAAAACUUCUAUUAUUAAUUAAUUUUAAAUUCAGUUUAGAAAUCAAUUUUUCUGAAAACUUUGCAAAAUUUCUCCCGGAGAUGAUCAGACCUGCAAAUUGAUUCAUUCUGUUUAUGGAAAUGUCAGUUUGCCUCUCUUGACCUUAAUUUAUAGCAGCACAGUAUUGCUAAAAUUAGCCAGUUGACAACCAAUGCAACAAUAGUUACAAGUUUGAAAUGUCAUGCCACCUACUGGGUUGGUCUGCUCAACUGUGCCUGUGCUGUGACUGAUGUGCACUGUCACCCAGGCCUUUCCGAGCCCAGAAUACUCAUACUUAUGGAAUGUCAUACGGGAGGAGGAGUUGAGCAAAGUGUUGGGUGAGUGGGGUUGUAGAGGAUAGUGUAGUGUGUGGGGGGGGUAGGGGUGAAGCUUUGGUUGUGUCGUGAUCUUUGGGCCGCUCGGGUCGGGCGCCUGGGGCCUGUGAUGACAAGAUUCCGGCUGGGUGGUGGGCGGCUGCUGGGCCCUGGCUCCGUCUUUGGCCCGCGUCUCUAUGUCCAGCGCCCGGUGGCCCCAUUGGCUGCCAUCCAGUAGGGUUGAGCGCGCCUUUCCUGUGGCCUUGGGGCCCCAACACAGAGGUUACCCGCUUAACUGCUGCCACUCAACUCAUCACCCUGCCAGAUCUUCUUAAGGAGCUCCAGGACCAGAAUUCUACGCGAGUUCGUUGCCUCUAAUGUUCCAGGAAUACCUACUCUCACGAAUGGACGGCAAAGCUGAUUCGCCGAGCAGAAAACCUCCUGAAACUCACCUUCUCAGUGGAGCCUUUGGUCAAACAUCAAGCCAUGUCUCAAGCCACAACUGGACCCUCAAGCUACGUUCCCAGUCCUCGUCUCGUCUCGGAUCCGCGGACCCCCUCCAGCCACGUCGCCUCCCUGCCGCAUCAAGACAACAUCACCAGCUGAACUAAUAAACCCAUUACUUACCACUCAGCAUCUGGGUCUGCCAAGCCUAGUCAGUCAUCACACAUGGUAACCAGAAAAUAUCCUGACUAUGCAAGUAUUACUGGUGGAAUCUGCUAAAAACAAACACAUCUCAUGCCGAAUAAAGACGCACUACUUUAAGUUUUAAAAGUUUUCUGAUUUGAAUAUUUUUAAUUGGUUAGUUUUAAUGCUAAAUAAAGAAAAACUGUUAAAGCAAAGCAAAAUAUACUUUUUGGAUGGAAAAAAAUGCUCAACGGGAUGCUGAGACUCUGUCAAGAAUUGCAAUGAAGCAUUUUUGUGCCCUUUUCCAUUAAGCAGAAAGAAAAUGAAUCCUUGUAAGCCAUCAACAGAGCACUUUGUGUGCAGCACCUGCUUUGUUGUAACUUAAUUCAACCGGGCCAGUUUUCCUGCGCGGGAAAGAUUACCACUGACAUCAAAACCAACAUGAUGAAAAUGUCUCAGUUUCCCUUUAAAUCAAUUUAGAGGUCGCCCUCUAAACGCCUGCAUGCAUGAUCUUUCUUCAUUAAAGCAGAGAUGUAUCAGUACAAGAUUUUAGGAUUAAACAUCCUGCUUCAUCCUGUGUCCCCCCUCCUUCAGUUUUCAUCACAUCACCUGCCAACAUCACUCAUGUUUCUUAGACUCCAUGGUGUAAGCCAAUGUCCUUGACAGCAGCAGUGAAGCAGCGUGUGCAAAACAUGGACACACUAAUCCCUGUAAAAAUCUGACCCAGGUGAACUUGUUUUAACCUGCUUUCUUUCAGGGCUUUAAUAUUCAUUAAAGUUCCCUUCUGAUACAAUCAUGUCUUUCAAGUUUUUGACAAGUACGUGCACAUCUUUCUUAUUACCGGUACAAAUGUACCGGUAAUAAGAAAUAACUUCUGCAUUUCUUAGUAUUUCUCCUUUUAAAUCGCUGUCAAUCAAACUGUCACAAAGACGUUCUGUCUAUACUCCCUAAUCUGCCCCGCCCAGCGUGCACAAGUUGUGAGAGAAGAUGCGCAUUGCCUGCACGCAUUUAUAAGUGGGUUAAAGGCUGGAUUUUGUUGUUGUGCGCACGUAUUUAAAAUUUAGCUUAAAGAUAAAAUCCCAUUAGCUGUCACACCUAGGUGGGCCAAAUGUGUUCUCCACAUUUGAUCCGUCCCCUAGAGGAGCGGUGAGCUGCAGAAACAGCCGCAAUCAGGAAGCAUCUGGUGGUUUAAUCCUAAACGUAACCUUUAAUCUUAAAUCUAACUCUUCCUCUGGGAUUAAGAAAAAAGUUCGAAGCUGGCCGCGUGGAUUUUAAAAAGCACGUGCGAAUUGUCGAAAAGUUUUUUUAUGGCAUUUCAUUUUAUUUGCUGUGCAAAUGAAUUCAACAAUCUGCAUGUGCUAGCAUAAAAUUCGUUAUGAGCCACAGCCAGUGCUGCUUGCUGGUGCAAUGUAGCCUAAAAUAUGUCACGAAAAGCAUUUUCAUAGCCUUAUUUCAGUUUUUUUUAUGUAUAAUUUUAUUAAACAACAGCAUCUGGUAUACACAUUUGUUUUGUCACACAUUGUUCAAAACCAAUAAUGGGUCUCUUUUCACCUUUUUUUUAAUCCCUAAAGAUAAACUUUUGAGAAUAGCGACUGUCAGUCGGAGUCGUUUGUGGCUCCCCUUGUAUCAAGCUCUUCACUCCUGCCAGACAGCUAUCAUCAUCAGAAAGGGGGUAUCAAGGGUGGGGAUACUAAGCUCAGCACUAACAGCCACGUCCAUGCGGAAGAGAUUUUAGAAAUAGUGGCUUUAGAUAAACAGGAAAUAUAGCUUUUUAAGACAUUUAGGUUGUGGCUUUUUAGUUAAAAACUGCAAAAUCAUAGUUAAAACACCUCUGGGAAUGUUUUUUUUUUUUUUUUUUUUUUUGUCAGAGGGGGACUUUAAACAAAAUGUAACUAAUUAGGAAACACCACUGUAAGGAAACAUGUUAAAAUGUUGUUGUGAUGUGCAAUCAAAUCUGAGCAGGAGCAUGCGUGGUUGGAAAUAAUUGGAAAAAAAUAAAUUUUACAUUUUCCUUCACAAUCCACCUCUUUUGUUUAGUCAGAGUUCAGAGGAAUAUGGUAUCCUUGCUCUUGUUUUUACUGGGUCAUUGCUUACAUGGACCCAAAAGCAAAAUAAUGAAGGUCUGCCGGUGAUGAGACAGGUAGCGGACCGAUCGGUGCUCGGAAAACAGCGACCGUGUGAUAUGGUUACAUCAUGGCCGAGGAAAGAAAGAUGGCAUAUUCUGCUUACAGCAGAAUAUUAAAGCUUUUUUUUCUUCGUGUUCAUCUUGAAAGCAGCUCGGAUAAAAGCACUUCACUGACUGAAACCACUGUUAAGUGAAGGUGCCCUCUGGACACAAAGGUUGAAGAGUCAACCUGCUUUUCUCCAUUUUGAUGGGCUUAUUUCUGUAGCUCAGUCCUGUUUUCCCCACUGAUGGAUUUAUUUUAGCCUAAAAUUUUUUUUUAAAUGAUAGCAUAGGAACCCCCAGAGUUAAUAACAUUUCUAAAACUCAAAGAUUUCCACCAGGACAUCCUUAGAGAAGAUUAGUAGGUGUUAAAACGUAGGUGUAAAUAAAGUGUGUCUGCAUGAUAAUGAGAGCAGCUGUGAGUCAUCCCUAUUCUCGUUUGGUGUAGACCUUUUAAUGUCUAUUCAUCGCCACUCCUGAAGUAAUAUUUAAUGAACUACUUUUGUCUAAUGUAAGAGGCUUGGCGCCCCCACCCUCAGGACACCACGUGAAACAGCAGAAACUGUUCAUUUCAUAUUUUUCUACGUCUGCCAUAUUUUCCAUGUGCUUGCACUCAACCUAAAUGAACAGGAACAUGAAACCUCCCCGAAAUCCUCUCCUGAUUUAUUUUUCCAGACAUCGGUCUGGAAUAUUAAUCACAGCCUCGGUCUCAACCAGCCGCCAUAAAUAACAUCGACUUUCAUGCGUCCCCGUGUCAUUAACAUGCAUUUCCCUUCACUUUAUUGCUCCAUGCUGUUUGGUAUUCAAGUGGAUUAAAGCAAAUUACAAGGUUAGAUCCAUCCUGGACCUGGUCCACAGACAGAGACACACAUUAAGGUU